AAACUGGAGAGUUUGAUCCUGGCUCAGAACGAACGCUGGCGGCGUGCUUAACACAUGCAAG
rnacentral:rRNA from 1 species